AGGAGAAGAGGUAAUGGCUUUAAACUGAAAGAGGGUAGAUUUAGAUUAGAUACAAGGAAGAUAUUCUUCACUAUGAGGUGGUGAGGCAGUGGAACAGGUUGCCCAGAGAAGUUGUGGAUACCCCAUCCCUGACAGUUCUGCUCUGGGGUUAAAC